rnacentral:misc_RNA from 1 species
GAUGAAGAACUUAGUGAAAUGCGAUAAGUAAUGUGAAUUGCAGAAUUCAGUGAAUCAUCGAAUCUUUGAACGCACAUUGCGCCCCUUGGUAUUCCGAGGGGCAUGCCUGUUCGAGCGUCAUUAUAACCCCUCAAGCUCAGCUUGGUGUUGGGGCCUGCUGCACUGGCAGCCCUUAAAAUCAGUGGCGGCGCCAUCUGGCUCUAAGCGUAGUAAUUCUUCUCGCUAUGGAGUCCUGGUGGAUGCUUGCCAUCAACCCCCAAUUUUUCUAUGGUUGACCUCGGAUCAGGUAGGGAUACCCGCUGAACUUAAGCAUAUCAAUAAGCGGAGGA